UGAAUACGAGACGCUACGGCGUCGAAGCAGUCUAUGUCAUACUUCCAAGAAAAGCUCGCAAUGUCAUAAACAAAUAAUGCCUGUACCAUAACCGACACAGGUGGGUAGGUAGAGUAUACUAAGGGGCGCGAGAUAACUCUCUCUAAGGAACUCGGCAAAUGACUCCGUAACUUCGGGAGAAGGAGUGCCUUAUUUAUAAGGUUGCAAUAACAAGAUCCAAGCAACUGUUUAUCAAAAACACAGGUCUCCGCUAAGUCGUAAGACGAUGUAUGGGGGCUGACGCCUGCCCAGUGCCAGAAGGUUAAAGAAGUUGGUUAGCAUUCGCGAAGCUGAUAACUGAAGCCCUGGUGAACGGCGAUCGUAACAAUAACGGUCCUAAGGUAGCGAAAUUCCUUGUCGGGUAAGUUCCGACCCGCACGAAAGGCGUAAUGAUUUGGAUACUGUCUCGGAGAGGGGCUCGGUGAAAUAGACUUGUCUGUGAAGAUGCGGACUACCUGCACCUGGACAGAAAGACCCUAUGAAGCUUUACUGUAACUUGAAAUUGAAAUUGGACUUUAUUUGCGCAGCAUAGGUGGGAGGCGUUGAGAGUAUUCUUGCGGGAAUAUUGGAGCCAUCAGUGAGAUACCACUCUUGUAAUGUUAGAUUUCUAACUUUGGAUCAUUAUCUGGUCAAAGAACAGUUUCAGGCGGGCAGUUUGACUGGGGCGGUCGCCUCCCAAAUGGUAACGGAGGCGUACAAAGGUUUCCUCUGAACGGGUAGAAAUCGUAUCUAGAGUGUAAAGGCAUAAGGAAGCUUGACUGUGAGACCUACAAGUCGAGCAGGGACGAAAGUCGGUCUUAGUGAUCUGACGGUGCUGAGUGGAAAGGCCGUCACUCAACGGAUAAAAGUUACUCUAGGAUAACAGGCUGAUCUCCCCCAAGAGUUCACAUCGACGGGGAGGUUUGGCACCUCGAUGUCGGCUCAUCGCAUCCUGGGGCGGUAGUACGUCCCAAGGGUUGGGCUGUUCGCCCAUGAAAGCGGUACGCGAGCUGGGUUCAGAACGUCGUGAGACAGUUCGGUCCAUAUCCGGUGUAGGCGUUAGAAUAUUGAGAGGAGCCUUCUUUAGUACGAGAGGACCGAGAAGGACAUACCUCUGGUGUACCAGUUAUCGUGCCAACGGUAAACGCUGGGUAGCUAUGUAUGGAGAGGAUAACCGCUGAAAGCAUCUAAGUGGGAAGCCCACCUCAAGAUAAG
rnacentral:rRNA from 1 species